rnacentral:rRNA from 1 species
UAGUCCACGCCGUAAACGAUGUGUGCUAGUUGUCGGGAGUUCAGCUCUCGGUGACGGAGCGAAAGUUUUAAGCACACCGCCUGGGGAGUACGGCCGCAAGGUUAAAACUCAAAGGAAUUGACGGGGACCCGCACAAGCGGUGGAGCAUGUUGUUUAAUUCGAAGCAACGCGAAGAACCUUACCUACACUUAACUAUCCUCUUGGGGCUUUCAGAGAUGAUUGCUUUCGGUUCGGCCGGGGAGUGAAUAGGUGCUGCAUGGCUGUCGUCAGCUCGUGUCGUGAGAUGUUGGGUUAAGUCCCGCAACGAGCGCAACCCUUAUUGUCUGUUGCCAUCAUUUAGUUGGGCACUCUGACAAGACUGCCGGUGAUAAGCCGGAGGAAGGCGGGGACGACGUCAAGUCAUCAUGGCCCUUACGUGUAGGGCUACAAACGUGCUACAAUGGCUACUACAGUGAGCAGCUACGUCGCGAGACGAUGCUAAUCUCCAAAAGUAGUCUCAGUUCGGAUUGUU